rnacentral:misc_RNA from 1 species
GCGGUGAGAUGACGCCCUCCCGGAAGUGACCUCUAGAGCGGUGGUGAAACUGGCAGUUGACGGCUCCUGGGACUAGAUCCCGCGAGAAUCUGAAGAAGAGCUGGCACCCGCAGACCCUCAGGAAUGUGGAGAAAGUGUGGAAGGCCGAGCAGAAGCAUGAGGCUGAGCGGAAGAAGAUUGAGGAGCUUCAGCGGGAGCUGCGAGAAGAGAGAGCCCGGGAAGAGAUGCAGCGCUAUGCGGAGGAUGUUGGGGCCGUCAAGAAAAAAGAAGAAAAGUUGGACUGGAUGUACCAGGGUCCUGGUGGGAUGGUGAACCGUGACGAGUACCUGCUGGGGCGCCCCAUUGACAAAUAUGUUUUUGAGAAGAUGGAGGAGAAGGAGGCAGGCUGCUCUUCUGAAACAGGACUUCUCCCAGGCUCUAUCUUUGCCCCAUCAGGUGCCAAUUCCCUUCUUGACAUGGCCAGCAAGAUCCGGGAGGACCCACUCUUCAUCAUCAGGAAGAAGGAGGAGGAGAAAAAACGAGAGGUAUUAAAUAAUCCAGUGAAAAUGAAGAAAAUCAAAGAAUUGUUGCAAAUGAGUCUGGAAAAAAAGGAGAAGAAGAAAAAGAAGGAGAAGAAAAAGAAGCACAAGAAACAUAAGCACAGAAGCUCGAGUAGUGAUCGUUCCAGCAGCGAGGAUGAGCACAGUGCAGGGAGGUGAGCAUGUGGCGACUGGCCUCCCUUCUCGUUGAUUCACUUGCUCAUUCACUCAUUCAUUCCACAGACAUGAACACCUGCCCUGUGCUGGAAGCUGCCAGGUACUGGGCAUUCAGUGAUGAACACUUGAACAUGGGCCCAGUGCCCACAGAGCUUGCCAUCUAAUGCUAGAGUUCCUUGGAGAUGCUAAAUAUCACAGAAGAAGAUGGCAAAUUCCUCCCCUGUUUUGUCCAAAGUCCCUGGAUAUGGCUUACAGGUCCGGAACUCUGACCGUAACCAGGGUCUUCAGGGUCCUCUGACAGCAGAGCAAAAGAGAGGGCAUGGGAUGAAGAACCAUUCCAGAUCCAGAAGCUCCUCCCACUCACCCCCAAGACAUGCCAGCAAGAAGAGCACCAGGGAAGCAGGGUCCCGGGACAGGAGGUCUCGAUCCCUG